GCUAACUUCCCUGACACGGUGUCGCUGAGGGAUACGCCGCGACUUAGGCGGCCGUCUAAAGCGGCCACAGCCGGCUUUGGAAAUAACACCACCGCGACAAGCCGUCCCAGCAUCUGGUGGGUCUCUCUGCCACUGGGGGGGUAAACCUACACCCCGACAUGCAGCAGCUGGCAUGCCGGGGGCAAGUCUUUAACCCCCACCGUGUCAAAGUUGACCAGCUGAUAGGAUUUCUCACAGAGCCUGAUGUCUUCACCGGCGAGGAGUGAAAGAUGGGAGAAGAGUAGCUGAUGUCACAUUGGAUCAGUGGAUGAGGAGGCUCUGGGAGGAGGGACGAGAGCGUAAACCCCCUGAGACCAGGAGAGUGGGCCUUUCAUCACCUCCACCAAUCAACAGCCUCCCAUCAAUCACACAUAUGUCAAUGUAACGCCGGCAGUACAAAGUUCCCAUCGGCAUGACAGGGCAUUUUGAAAGAACCAUCAUAAAAUAGGCUCUGUGUUUUUGUAUGUGGAAAUUUAUAUAAUAAAGGAUAUAUUUAA